AGAAGAGAGAGCUUCAUGACUGGGAUGCAGUCAAGGAUGAGAUGCUUAAGGUGACGUUUGAAUGUUCAGCACCGAUCACUACCCAGUGUGCUGUCUGCCGAGAACAUGCUGAUUAUAGGUGCAUUGAGUGCAGCUCCACUGCAGUGUUCUGUGAGGUUUGCCUGAAGAGGAUUCACAGAAAUGUACUGCAUCUUCCUGAAAAGUGGAAUAAUGUUUACUAUGAGCCAUCCUCCCUGGGGUUAUUCUUAUAUUUACCUGAAGCCCAUGGCACCCAUGCUGUGUACACAAAGGACAUGAAGAUCAUUGUCAGCACAGGACGGCUCUGCACCGUUACAGUCACCAUGUGUGCGUGUGAACCAGAAACCUGUACUCUGUUGAGGUAUGGGCUCUGACCAGACAGCCUUCUCCAUCCCUCUGCUAGAGCUUUCUGUUUCUCUGUCACUGGAGUGUCAGGUUUCUGUUGAGGGUUUUUCGCAACACCCCAUAUCCCAUUUUAGGCAUCACCACUUCCGACAAAGAAGUUUGGUUGAUAUUUGCCCACUAUUAAAUGAUGGCACCAUAUGCCCAGCAUGUCCAAAGGUUGGUUAUAAUUCCAGCGUGGUUCUUGUUUGAUUAAAUUAAUGGCAUAGAAAUAAAAUCUGAAUUAAUAUCAAACUUAAAAGUUAAUUUGUUUAUGUAGUAUUGUAAUAGAAUAGUAAUAGUAUAAAUGUAUAAACCUGGUGCGGGUACAAAACCAGUGUUACUGUAAGUGUUUGUUUUCCAGGCGGAUGGAGAUAUGAUUGUCACAUUGGAUGCGAACUUUGGCCUUGUGAGGAAGCAAAGCUCUGGGACAAGUGCGGUUGAUCCAUUACACGGAACCCGCAUGUUUGUUGAUGAAAAGGAUGUAGAGGAAUACCUGCUAUCACAUCUUGACAGCUCAAAGCCUCGAGGUUAAUCAUU